rnacentral:rRNA from 1 species
GACGAACGCUGGCGGCGUGCCUAACACAUGCAAGUCGAGCGGAGUCGAUCGACGGAAGCCUUCGGGCGGAAGAUGGUUGACUUAGCGGCGGAUGGGUGAGUAACGCGUGGGCAACCUGCCUCGAAGACCGGGAUAACAGCCCGAAAGGGCUGCUAAUACCGGAUGUGGUCAAGGAUCCGCAUGGAUUUUUGAUUAAAGGGGAAACCCGUUUCGAGAUGGGCCCGCGUCCUAUCAGCUAGUUGGUGAGGUAAAAGCUCACCAAGGCGACGACGGGUAGCCGGCCUGAGAGGGUGACCGGCCACACUGGAACUGAGACACGGUCCAGACUCCUACGGGGGCAGCAGUGGGGAAUCUUCCACAAUGGGCGAAAGCCUGAUGGAGCGACGCCGCGUGAGCGAAGAAGGCCUUCGGGUUGUAAAGCUCUGUCUGGAGGGACGAAGGAAGUGACGGUACCUCCGGAGGAAGCCACGGCUAACUACGUG